rnacentral:rRNA from 1 species
CUGCAGAAGAAACCCCGGCUAACUACGUGUCAGCAGCCGCGGUAAUACGUAGGGGGCAUUCGUUAUCCGGAUUCAUUGGGCGUAAAGCGCGCGUAGGCGGUCUGUUAGGUCAGGAGUUAAAUCUGGGGGCUCAACCCCUAUCCGCUCCUGAUACCGGCAGGCUUGAGUCUGGUAGGGGAAGAUGGAAUUCCAAGUGUAGCGGUGAAAUGCGCAGAUAUUUGGAAGAACACCGGUGGCGAAGGCGGUCUUCUGGGCCAUGACUGACGCUGAGGCGCGAAAGCUAGGGGAGCGAACAGGAUUAGAUACCCAGGUAGUCCUAGCUGUAAACGAUGGACACUAGGUGUGGGGAGAUUAUACUUUCCGUGCCGCAGCUAACGCAUUAAGUGUCCCGACUGGGGAGUACGGUCGCAAGACUAAAAAUCAAAGGAAUAGACGGGGGCCCGCACAAGCAGCGGAGCAUGUGGCUUAAUUCGAAG